rnacentral:rRNA from 1 species
GAUGAACGCUGGCGGCGUGCCUAAUACAUGCAAGUCGAGCGAACGGACGAGAAGCUUGCUUCUCUGAUGUUAGCGGCGGACGGGUGAGUAACACGUGGAUAACCUACCUAUAAGACUGGGAUAACUUCGGGAAACCGAAGCUAAUACCGGAUAAUAUUUUGAACCGCAUGGUUCAAAAGUGAAAGACGGUCUUGCUGUCACUUAUAGAUGGAUCCGCGCUGCAUUAGCUAGUUGGUAAGGUAACGGCUUACCAAGGCAACGAUGCAUAGCCGACCUGAGAGGGUGAUCGGCCACACUGGAACUGGGACACGGUCCAGACUCCUACGGGAGGCAGCAGUAGGGAAUCUUCCGCAAUGGGCGAAAGCCUGACGGAGCAACGCCGCGUGAGUGAUGAAGGUCUUCGGAUCGUAAAACUCUGUUAUUAGGGAAGAACAUAUGUGUAAGUAACUGUGCACAUCUUGACGGUACCUAAUCAGAAAGCCACGGCUAACUACGUG